UACUAGCGGUCCAAGUCGCAGCCAUUUUUAUUGGGUCUAAAACAUCCGUAGCUUGUUUGGUAAGUUUCCUGUGAAAUUUUAUCUCUUAAAGGUAAAGCGUGCAGGAAGUACUGCCAGGCUAGAGACUGGAAGACGUAGGAAGUACGUUCAAAGUAGUGGUAAAAUACUUUAAUCUAGAACGGACUUACAAUAGCGAAGGCAUCCUACGAGGACAGUUCUGACAGUAAGGGAUGAAGGCUAGGGGCGCAAAACGGAUUAGAUACCCCCGUA
rnacentral:rRNA from 1 species